GCUGGGUAUGGUGGCGCAUACCUGUAAUCCCAGCUACUCGGGAGGCUGAGGCAGGAGAAUCACUUGAACUCAGGAGGCGGAGGCUGCAGUAAGCCAAGAUCGCGCCACUGCAUUCUAGCCUGGGUGAUAGAGUGAGAUUCUGUCUCAA
rnacentral:SRP_RNA from 1 species